CAUUAUUGAGCUAGUGUACGUCAAAAUAUUUGUAGAUCCUUCGUACUUUUUAUCUUUCAAGUAGCUAGAGCUAUAUUACACAAGCUAUUUAUUAUGAAAUAACAUCGGUGUUUCAAAUAGAUUGAAGGAGAAACGAAAAUAGCACAAUUAUAAAACUUCAGUUGUCUCCAGUUUUGAAAUGGUAAGAAGAGCAGUAUGUACAUUAAGAAACCUUAUUACAACUGUUUAUACUUUGUCAAAACAACGUUCGAUCGUUGCGAUCUGAAUGGAUUAACUUUCAAUUUCCAUAACUUAUCUGUUGCGAAGGAAGACGAGGGAUCGGUUAUUGUUACCGAUCGAUGACUAAUCCGCUCUGGAAUCGUUAGUAUUCGCUACGUAAGGGCGCUAACUGACUCGAUUAUGGUUCAGGGCCCGCGAGAACAAAGGACCACCAACGUGACAAUUGAGCUUCAUCGCGCUGAUAUAAAGUUACAGAUGCGAAGGGAGAAAAUGAGAGGCGAAUAUUAAGUCGGCAUACAAAAUGGCCGUCGCGAAGUGUGGAAAAAAUAGGGAUGCGUUAGCUCCUCUCGCUUCUGUGUACCACAUGCUGGUUCACAGAAUGCAAUGCGCGUGGGGGACGAAAGACGUGACGCGCAUGCGUCAACUACACGGAUCGAAAGCUCCGCCCGGUGACUGCCUUUGUUUAAUCCAUGGUACCUACGCCCACGACAUGUGGCCAACAAACUACGAAUUUGUCUCUCGACGGGAUCCUAAUCUUGGAUUGCAAUACGCCACAGAUGCUAAAAAGCAUGACGUGAGUGGGAAUUCGAUGGCGCGAAAUAUGCCAGUAAGCUCAGGACAUUUUUUGUCGUGCUAACCUCAAUUAAGGUUAGAUAAUAAUGUUUUAUUUACACGUUCUACAGACGUUUAUGAGUGUGUUGUUGUUCUUUUUUUAAUAAUAAAGAAUAUAUAUAAUGAUGAGAAUGUACAUUAAACGAAAAGUAGAGAAGAAAUUUUCCCUCUAAUUACAAUCGGAAUCGAUCUAUGUUUUACAUAAAUCAUUCAGUUUCACCUUAAAUUCUUCACCUUCUAGGUUAGUAUCCCAUCCAAUGUACAAAUCACUGGAGAUAACGUGCUUUUAAUACUGCAGCAAAGUUUCGUCAUUACUUGAAAGCAUAAUUAGCAGAAAGGAAGUAUAAAUGCAAAUCAAUCAGUAAAUCAAAACAUUGCUCAUGUCGGAAAUAUGAAACUCUCUGUAAACAGAAAUGCCCGUGCACCCUGGAAAUCUGCAGCAGACGCAAUGCAUAAACAUGUAACCUGGUAAUUGAAAUGAAAAUAUAUGAUGAAAUGACAAAAGAAAA